GUCGGCAUCGUUACCCUGAAGGGUCAGGCCGUUCACGUAGUCAGCGAACUGACCGGGCGCACCACGGCCGCGCUUAGUGCCGAAGUGCGUCCGCAGGUCGGCGGCAUUAUCCAGAAGCGGUUAUUCACCGAAGGCGACGAGGUCAAGGCCGGACAACCGCUGUAUCAGAUUG
rnacentral:ncRNA from 1 species